rnacentral:rRNA from 1 species
AGAGUUUGAUCAUGGCUCAGGAUGAACGCUGGCGGUAUGCUUAACACAUGCAAGUCGAACGGAGUACUUCGGUACUUAGUGGCGGACGGGUGAGUAACGCGUGAGAAUCUGCCUUCAGGUUCGGGACAACCACUGGAAACGGUGGCUAAUACCGAAUGUGCAGCAAUGUGAAAAAUUUAUUGCCUGAAGAUGAGCUCGCGUCUGAUUAGCUAGUAGGUGUGGUAAGAGCGCACCUAGGCGACGAUCAGUAGCUGGUCUGAGAGGAUGAUCAGCCACACUGGGACUGAGACACGGCCCAGACUCCUACGGGAGGCAGCAGUGGGGAAUUUUCCGCAAUGGGCGAAAGCCUGACGGAGCAAGACCGCGUGAGGGAGGAAGGCUCUUGGGUUGUAAACCUCUUUUGUCAGGGAAGAACACAAUGACGGUACCUGAAGAAUCAGCAUCGGCUAACUCCGUGCCAGCAGCCGCGGUAAUACGGGGGAUGCAAGCGUUAUCCGGAAUUAUUGGGCGUAAAGCGUCCGCAGGUGGCUAAUCAAGUCUGCUGUCAAAGGUUGGGGCUUAACCCCAAAAAGGCAGUGGAAACUGAGAAGCUAGAGUGCAGUAGGGGUAGAGGGAAUUCCCGGUGUAGCGGUGAAAUGCGUAGAGAUCGGGAAGAACAUCGGUGGCGAAGGCGCUCUGCUGGACCAUAACUGACACUCAGGGACGAAAGCUAGGGGAGCGAAUGGGAUUAGAUACCCCCGUAGUCC